rnacentral:tRNA from 1 species
CCGGCGGCGUCGCCGGCGCGGUCGCGGCGCUGGCGGCGCCGCGGGUCGUGGGAUCCGGCUCGCGCCCUGGCCCGGCACCGGCGCCGCAGGGC